rnacentral:ribozyme from 13 species
AACCCCAAAAAAAACUUCUCCACUUUCAAAAUGGGCAAAUGAAUCAAAAAAUUUACAAUCUCCAAAUAUUGAUCAACAAAUUCUUCUUCUUUUUCUCUUUCUAUUUCUCUCUCUUUUUCUUCUUUUUCUUCUUCUUUUUCUUCUUCU